CCAAAAAUUAGUUCUACAAAAUAAACAAAAACGAAGCGUAUUAAUCCCGAGCCCAGUCAAGCUGAGUAUUGGAACAAAAAUGUGCUUUCAUGAAGAAAGGACCAGUAAAAGCAGUGCGAUGCAUGGGGCGAUUACCAGGAAAAGGGAGAAUGGUUGGAAAAAAUAAGGAGGUGGGAAACUGAAAACGACUGUGUGAAACGGGACGGGAUGGACGUCUCUUCAUCAUCAUCAAAGGCACAAGCAUAUCUACUUCAAAAGCUUUAUUCCUGAAGCCGUUGGUGAUUGCAGGCACACUGGAGAGAGCGUGUGCUAGUCUGCGGCUCUGCUCAGACGUGAUGGGGAAUUGGACGUGACUAAUUGAGGAGGAGAAAGGAAGACAUUGAGUGUGUGAAGUGGAAGUGGACUUGGUGCGCUGCUGUGUGUUCGGCGUGACGGUGGAGAGGAGCAGCUUGAGCUCGGCGGGCGUCGUCCGUACGUCAGCCGUCCCGCGGUGACCCGCAUAAGCAGCAGUUUAGGGAAGGCCCUUUCCUGAUCCGGCAUGACUGCACGAGCUCUAUAACGACAUGAAGAAGAUGAACCGGAACACCAACAUCGGCGCUUGGCUGUACAAAUCCUCUUUGGCUGCAUGGGCACAAAUUCCCACAGACAUACUAUACUUCAAGAUCUUAAGGUUCUUUCUCCACGUGUGCCGCAGUUCGUAGCUCGACGGCCUUCGCUUUACAUCACACAUGGUUCACUGCUCUCCAGACCACAAACAUUCCGGCGACACUCAGAACGAGAAGGUGGGCGACAAUCAGAAAGCAUGACGGUUUGCAUAGUAUUAAAUGAACAAGAACAUUGAAUUCUUUAUUUACAGUUAUUGUAUAGAUUAAAAAAAAAAAUCAUAAAACAAGAUGAAUGAACACUUAACGUUUUUACCCAUAAAUUGCUAAACCACCCAAA